rnacentral:rRNA from 1 species
CACAUGCAAGUCGAGGGGCAGCAUGAUUGAAGCUUGCUUCAAUUGAUGGCGACCGGCGCACGGGUGAGUAACGCGUAUCCAACCUUCCGUACACUCAGGGAUAGCCUUUCGAAAGAAAGAUUAAUACCUGAUGGUAUGAUGAGAUUGCAUGAUAUCAUCAUUAAAGAUUCAUCGGUGUACGAUGGGGAUGCGUUCCAUUAGGUAGUAGGCGGGGUAACGGCCCACCUAGCCUACGAUGGAUAGGGGUUCUGAGAGGAAGGUCCCCCACAUUGGAACUGAGACACGGUCCAAACUCCUACGGGAGGCAGCAGCGAGGAAUAUUGGUCAAUGGACGAGAGUCUGAACCAGCCAAGUAGCGUGAAGGAUGAAGGUCCUACGGAUUGUAAACUUCUUUUAUAAGGGAAUAAAACCUCCCACGUGUGGGAGCUUGUAUGUACCUUAUGAAUAAGCAUCGGCUAACUCCGUGCCAGCAGCCGCGGUAAUACGGAGGAUGCGAGCGUUAUCCGGAUUUAUUGGGUUUAAAGGGAGCGCA